UCUAACCCAAGCCAUUCUAAGAUUCUACAAUUCUAUGACUUAGUGGAUUGUCACAGUUCAGUGUUUCUCCCUUUGGACUGAAGCUGCUGGGUAAGAUGGAGGAGAGUAGGAACAGCAAAAAGAAGCAAAGGGAGUCUGGGAUUAGUUGUGCACUGUUUCGUUCAAGGCUGUGGUGUUAGCGAGGGCUUUGAGUCUGUGACAUUUUAUCCAGGCAUGGUUCAUGGGUGUGUACUCAAUGUGGCUCUGGAUCUGGUGUUGGACAGGUGUAGGCUAUAGGGACUUUGGGAUCCAAGUAAAUCUUCAGCUUGGGUCUGUUCCUGGGUGGAGCAGGAGGGUUCAUCAAGACCCAGGGAUGUCUCUCACUGUUUAUUUCUCCCUGUGUCCUGUGGGCAUGAUGGGUCUCUGUCAAAUGAAAGUAGAGUGUCAAAAAGGUUUCCUUCACCUGCAUUUGCUCUACCAGCAGUUAGGGCACAGUGUAAGUAUUUGGAGACACAUUUGGAGAAACUGUGCUUACAGCAUGCAGGAGACUGGGCUAGACAGAGGUUGUAACCCAUCAUUCUGGCCUUUAUGUAUUUAUAAGUUCAUAGAUCCUGCCGUGUACUUAAAAGACCUUUACUGCUGUAGUUGAGCACUUGUGCAUGUCAUCUGUUCACAAUUAAUUGUACAGCAAUUGGAACAGCCAGCACACUCCUGACUGGUAAAUUUUUCAGCAUAUCCAGUUCGGAGUGUUGCCCUGAUCAGAGGCACCUGCAGAGAAUUACAAACCACAGAAGAGCUUAGCAUGCAGUGAGAGUGCACACAAAGGACGCUCCUGUCUCAGGCAUCCAAGCCUUUCUUGCUUAGAAGUCCACCUCUCAAAGAGGAUUUAGCAAUAUCAUAGAGAGGUGUAGAAGGGGAAAAUAAUCCAUCUUUUUCUUUGGUAGAAAAUAAUGAUGUAACAAGUGAAAUACAAAGAAUAGUUCCAGGCUGGGCCCAACAUUGUUGUAACACUUCAUUCUUUUUUGUUGUUUGUUUGUUUUUUGGAUAAAACAUAAUCUAGACCAAAUUAGUUGAAACAAUGGUCCACAGAGAGCUCACAAACAGAGCCCCGAACAAAGAACUGUUCCUUGUCAACUCAUAAAUAAAAGUGUACUGUGAAACAAUUUAAUCAGAACCACAACUUUAAAUACACUUGAAUAGCACAUAAGCAAGAGUUGGUGUAGGUGUCGUAAGUACCAAAUAAUCUGUAUGAUAUUUAGAAGCAUGAACAUAUGUGGUAAUGAGCCCUGAUAUAUUUAUUUUCCAUUCUAUUUGCUAUGUAUGAAAAAUGCUCAUAUAUCUCUGUGGAGAGUCGUUAUGGCAUUCCCAAAGGAUACUGAUCCAUUUUGAGCACGCUAAUGAACAUUCGGGUUAAGCAAUACAGAUUUCUGACUUCUGAAUUGGGGAUAUAUAUAUUAUAUAAUAUAUAUAUUGUGUGAUGUGUGGUAUUUCUGCCUCAAUCUUCCCAUCUGCGCAAUGGCAAUAACUUUACCUACUUUCUUUCUUCAAGGAAGGGUCGGCAGAAUUAAAUUGUUAAUAGUUAUUGAAGAUUUUGAUUAUGAAAAUGGAAAAAUGAGACAAGCACAAGUUGCAUUUCUUGCCUUCCACAUACAGUGAUGGGUUUUCUCCUUUGCUUCUAUCGUCGGAAGACUUCAACAGUCCAGAACAUUCGGCCAAAGCAGUCAAAGUUGUACGCUACACCCACAUAUAUCUGAAGCUUUUGGUAAUAAGCAUGUGGGCUGCAAACCUACAGGAAUAAGCACGUACUGGUUAACACAAGAAAUGAAGAUUCAGCAGUUUAAAUCAAGUGCUGAUUAACUGUGCCUAUCCCCCUCUAGCUAUUUACUGCAAUUAAAAAAAAGACAUUAAUUUGAAUUAGUAAUUUUACUCCUACCUCCAUAAAACAACAGACUUCCACAUCUCUUUCUUCUAUCAUGCCAAUGUGUCAAAAAUGUCAAGGUGAUAAUUUUCAGUCACUUCAGUAGGAUCAUACAUUAAAAGACCACAGCGAGAAAGAAAUUGGAAUGAAAACGACUUUGAAAUCUGAAUAAUACAAAGAAGUUAAAAUAUUAAAACUGUUCAACUCCGGGAAGUUUAUAGUCAGGUAGUGUAUUUUUCUAAAGACUGCUGUAUACACAGUUUGUUAGCCAAAAUCUCUGGCAGGACAGGAAGCAGGAAUAUGAAAAGCCACUAUAAGAUGGAGAACUUUUGCAAGAACCUAUUCAGUCUUCUUAGAGACAGGGUCAUACUUAAAUUUCCAGUGCCAUACACACGACCGUGAAAUUAAUGUGAGUACACAAACUUUUCAAGUUUUGAUCUGUAAAGUCAAGCUCUUCAAAUAAAAUAUUAGAAU
rnacentral:lncRNA from 1 species